AGAAUGCUACGGAAGUCCUUGACAAAAAGGAAACACUGAGACAGAUGGGCUGAGAAGAAGAGCUGUCGAGUCCCUGAUUGGGAAAGGAAAAAUUAAAAACCCUAGAUCUCUGGUACACAUAAGUCUGGGUUUGCGAUUGCUAUUUGUGCUGGGGCAGUGUGAUUGAGACUGACAUUGAGGAAAGAAGCAGCUAUGAAGACCAGGGGGUUCAGCUUUCCAAGACAAAGGUGCACUGGACAGAGAGAGCAAAGCUGAGUACAACAUCACCAUCACCGUCACUGACUUGGGGACACCCAGGCUGAAAACCGAGCACAGCAUAACCCUGCAGGUCUCCGACGUCAAUGACAACGCCCCCGCCUUCACCCAAACCUCCUACACCCUGUUCGUCCGGGAGAACAACAGCCCCGCCCUGCACAUCGGCAGUGUCAGCGCCACAGACAGAGACUCAGGCACCAACGCCCAGGUCACCUACUCGCUGCUGCCGCCCCAGGACCCACA
rnacentral:misc_RNA from 1 species